UACGUAGGGUGCAAGCGUUAAUCGGAAUUACUGGGCGUAAAGGGCUCGUAGGUGGCCAACUAAGUCAGACGUGAAAUCCCCAGGCUCAACUUGGGAACUGCGUCUGAUACUGGAUGGCUUGAAUUCGGGAGAGGGAUGCAGAAUUCCAGGUGUAGCGGUGAAAUGCGUAGAUAUCUGGAGGAAUACCGGUGGCGAAGGCGGCAUCCUGGACCGAGAUUGACACUGAUGAGCGAAAGCUAGGGGAGCAAACGGG
rnacentral:rRNA from 1 species